GGGGUUGAUCUUCCAUGGUGUGAAGACUUCGUUCUUUCGCUCUUUGCAAUGACUCUUGGUGCUACUCACUCUGGGUUCACGCUGCCUUUAUGAGUUGUGAGACUCACCGCGAAGGUCUGUAGCUUCACAGCUGAAGCCAUCGAGACCACGAACCCACCAGGAGGAACGAACAACUCCAGAAGCACCGCCUUAAAAGCUGUAACACCCACCGCGAAGAUCUGCAGGUUCACUCCUGAGCUGCCGAGACCACGAACCCACCGGAAGAAAGAAACUUCGAACACAUCCGAACAUGAGAAAUAACAAACUCCAGAUACGCGUCUUUUAAGAACUGUAGCAAUCACCGUGAGGGUCCGCGGCUUCAUUCUUGAAGUGAGACCAAGAACCCACCAAUUCCGGACGCAACUGCCCUCCAGCCUGGGCGACAGAGCGAGACUCCGUCUCAAAAAAAAAAAAAAAAAAAAAAAAAAAAAACAGAAACAAUCCCACCCAGCUUUAGCAAGUCGGAGGAGUGAAGACCAGAAUUAGAGUGGUUAUCUAAAGACAGAUUUGAAUCUGGGGUUUAGAAGAAAACAGCGGUGUUACAAAUGAAAACAAAAUGGGUCCUGUCUGAGAAGCCCCAGGAGAGAACACCUAUAUUAUUAAAGGAAGCAUGGACACUAGUGAGCCUUAUAUUUCUAUUCUUUUUUUUUUUUCUCUGAGACAGAGUGUCGGUCUGUCGCCCAGGCUGGAGUGCAGUGGCGCGAUCUCAGCUCACUGCAACCUCCGCCUCCCAGGUUCAAGCAAUUCUCCUGCCUCCGCCUCCCAAGUAUCUGCGAUUAC
rnacentral:lncRNA from 1 species